AAAUUUUAUAUUUGAUCUUUGUAUAGUUGUGUCAAGUUCCUUUAAAUAAGCUUUCCUGGUAAUUUAAUUGAAGCCUUUCAGAACGAGGAUAAACAAGAAAGGCGAUCAGGGAUCUCCCUAUCUCAACUACAUCUUAGGCCUAUCAAUAUUGUGGAGGAGUUUAAUAACCAUAAACACAAGGGUAGCGUUGAUAGUUAUGGAAGCAUAAUUUAAUUAGUCGAAAGGGGGUGCUUGGGUCGAGAAUUUGAGAUUUGCUUGAAAAUACGUCUAUCUUGUAGAUUCGCUUGAAACUAUCCGUUCACGCUUCGAGAGGUAUUUAUCGAAUAAAAUUUCAGUAUAUUUAUGUGUUCUAGCAUGAUAUAUAUUUUAGUAUAAACAGUAUUGAUUAUCUAUUAUUUAUAUAAGUAGUAAAGAUUCUGAUGAAUCUCCGCUGUGCAUAUAGUUUUAUAACAAUUGGUAUCAGAGCCUUACUUGCAUCUAUUUUGAUAACUUUAAUACGUUCGCAUAUACAUAUGUUGUUAUAUACAAUAAUAUAUUGUUUAAUCGAUGAAAGCCGUCAAUCACAUGAGGAGCAUGUUUGGUCGUAUCAAUUUAAUUGGAUUAUGACAUAUUCAUGUUUUAAAUUUAAAUUAACAAGUAAUGAGAAUUGCUUGGUGUGUUUAAUAAAUGAUGGCGUGACAGCAAACAAUAUUUGGCCACAAUUUUCUUUACCUUGUUGAGUUUGAAGUUAGAGAUGGCAGUGAGAUUUUUUUUUUAAAAGUAGGUUAAUACGUUAUUAAAAUCCCAUUUGUUAAUGUUGGCAUUAACAAUGCUAAUAUUGAAUAAAAUAUUUAUUUUAAAAAUGAAGAGAGGACUAGAGUGGCGGCAAACAGUGCCAGAAAAGUGGUUUUUAAUCCACAAUAUACACCCACCUAAACCUAAGAUCUCUUUUUGUUUAUUUUUUUAUUUAUUGUUUAUUUGUUUUUUGUGUUUUUGACAUUAUUCUCUUGAUUAUUUAAUUAUAUGAGCAUUGUUUUGUUUCUCUUUGUAUAAUAUAAAUAAUAGUAGUUAAGAAUUAAUAAUGAUUAGUAAAAGUGUUGUUAAUGAAUCUAUUUAUUUAAAAUCAUUGUAAAAUUCUUAUAAAAUAUUCUUUUUUAUACAUGUAGAAAUAAUUAACAUAUAAAUUGAGCUAAAUAGGAUUCACGAAACUGAUCUAUUUAUUAGAGUCAUUAGAACAUUCUCAAUGUAUCAUAUAUAAAUUGUUCUAACUCCUAAGUGAAUACUAGUGAUGAAUAUUUAUUUACUUAAAUCAAGAUUCGUUUUUUAGAUACUAGUAACACUUACUUAUUCAUGAGAAGAGAUAUUAAAGGUUUUCACCGGUUUAAAAGGGAGAAAACGUAAUAUUUUGAAUUCUCAAGUGUAUGAAUUGAGAGAACAAUUUGAUAUAAGAAGAUGUUGUAUGUCUUAGUCAAAGAAAAGGCACACAAUAUUCCUAAUGCUCAUUAGAUAAUUAUUAAAAGAGAACAAAAAUGUAAAUCGAGUUAUAUUAAUCUCUAACUAUGCUUCAAACGAUUAAUUUUUCAAAUUUUAUCAUAGUUAAGAUGGUCAUGAAUUUUGUGAUAUCUGAUUGACUUGAAAUUUGAUGGUUUAAACGAAAAUUGUUUAGAUGGUUUUAGGUAAAUUUGUUGGAUUAAAAUUUGAUUUGAAUAUGAUAAGACCAUUCUUUAUAUCAAUUAUGCUUAUGUUAAAUUUGAAAAAUAAUUGCACAUAGUUAUUUGACGAAAAUUGAUAUGUGAUAAGAAUGUAUGAAUGUUGUUUUAAUUCCUAAAGAUGCUUAAAUAACUUGAGUUUGAAUUUGGUUAUAACUUUGGAAAUAAAGAUUCUUCACAGAUUCCAAUUGACCUGAAAUUUGGUAAGUUCAUUAAUAACAGGCUAGUAAGAAGUACUCAUUGCUAUGUGGUUAUAUUUUUUUGAGGUCGUUGAAAUAAUUUUAAAGUUGUUUUUUGGAAUUAAAAUGUGAUUUAGUUUUAAAUGACAUCCUUUAUAUUAGUUUUAUUUAUGUUAUACGUGGUAAGGAUGUUGAUCUAUUCAUUUCCCCCUAAAUCGUUUGAAUCUGAAUUUGGUCAAGAGAUUUGGAGAUAAAUAUUAAUUUUGAACUCCAAUUGAUCAUUAAUUUGGUAGGUUCAUCAGAAACGAUCAACUUUAAAAUACUCAUUGUUAUGCAGUGAUUUGGUAAUUUGAGAUCGUUCAGAUGAUGUUAUUAGAUAAUUUUUAUAUCUUGAUAAAUUAAUUUUACCGAAAAGUUACUCGACUAUGAUAUAGCGGUAAUAGAGUUUGUUCUUUAUGGUCUUGAUGACUAAAUUUUAGUGAAGUAUUAAGUUCAUGUGGUUUCUUAGACCUUCCUCCAUAACGGAUGAAAUCAAUACAAGUCAUUAAAGUUUAAUCUCUAGUUUUGAUUAUCUGUAUUGACUCUACUAAACUGAGUAUUUGAUUGGAUCAAUGGAUGCAGGGAUAAUGAUAUUCGUUCGACUUAAAUUUACAAAUGCUCUCCAUUUGAGUUAGCUUUUGUUUUAAAUUUGUUGAAGUGAAUAUUUGACACCAUAUAUGUAUGUUGCGUGAGUAGUCAUUUUUUCAUUAAAAUUUAUUGUUCAAGAUGCA